CAUUGGGACUGAGACACGGCCCAGACUCCUACGGGAGGCAGCAGUGGGGAAUAUUGCGCAGUGGGGGCAACCCUGACGCAGCAACGCCGCGUGAAGGAUGAAGGCUUUCGGGUUGUAAACUUCUUUGAUCGGGGACGAAGAUGACGGUACCCGAGGAACAAGCCACGGCUAACUACGUGCCAGCAGCCGCGGUAAUACGUAGGUGGCAAGCGUUGUCCGGAAUUACUGGGUGUAAAGGGUGAGUAGGCGGGGAUACAAGUCAGAUGUGAAAACUGUGGGCUCAACUCACAGCCUGCAUUUGAAACAGUAUCUCUUGAGAGUCGGAGAGGUAAACGGAAUUCCCAGUGUAGCGGUGAAAUGCGUAGAUAUUGGGAGGAACACCAGUGGCGAAGGCGGUUUACUGGACGACAACUGACGCUGAUACACGAAAGCGUGGGGAGCAAAAAAAGUUCGCUUCCCUGUUCGUCCACCCCGUAAACCGACCUAAAAGGGUGAGGGGGUGAUAAACCCCUGUGCCGGAGUAAACCCAAUAAGCAUUCCACCUGGGGAGUACGGCCGCAAGGCUGAAACUCAAAGGAAUUGACGGGAGCCCGCACAAGCAGUGGAGUAUGUGGUUCAAUUCGAUGCAACGCGAAGAACCUUACCGGAGCUUGACAUCCUAAGAAGACCGAUGUAAAGUUGGUUGUGCCCCUUACGGGGAGCUUAGAGACAGGUGGUGCAUGGUUGUCGUCAGCUCGUGUCGUGAGAUGUUGGGUUAAGUCCCGCAACGAGCGCAACCCUUGCUAUUAGUUGCUAACAUUCAGAUGAGCACUCUAAUGGGACUGCCCGUGACAAGCGGGAGGAAGGUGGGGAUGACGUCAAAUCAUCAUGCCCUUUAUGAUCUGGGCUACACACGUGCUACAAUGGAUGGUACAGAGAGCAGCGAGACAGUGAUGUGGAGCGAAUCUCAAAAAGCCAUUCUCAGUUCGGAUUGCAGGCUGCAACUCGCCUGCAUGAAGUCGGAAUCGCUAGUAAUCGCGGAUCAGCAUGUCGCGGUGAAUGCGUUCCCGG
rnacentral:rRNA from 1 species